CCUACGGGGGGCAGCAGUGAGGAAUAUUGGUCAAUGGGCGCGAGCCUGAACCAGCCAAGUAGCGUGAAGGAUGACUGCCCUACGGGUUGUAAACUUCUUUUAUAAAGGAAUAAAGUGAGGCACGUGUGCCUUUUUGUAUGUACUUUAUGAAUAAGGAUCGGCUAACUCCGUGCCAGCAGCCGCGGUAAUACGGAGGAUCCGAGCGUUAUCCGGAAUGACGGGGAGUAAAGGGUGCGUAGGUGGUUUGGCAAGUUAGUAGCGUAACUCCAAGGCUCAACCUUGGAACUACUACUAACAAUGUUGGACUUGAGUGCAGGAGGGGCAACCGGAAUGCCUAGUGUAGCGGUGGAAUGCGUAGAUAUUAGGAGGAACACCAGUGGCGAAGGCGGGUUGCUAGACUGUAACUGACACUGAGGCACGAAAGCGUGGGGAGCAAACAGGAUUAGAUACCCCUGUAGUC
rnacentral:rRNA from 1 species